ensembl:lncRNA LINC02714 long intergenic non-protein coding RNA 2714
AGAACUGGGGUUCGUGGGCAGAGUGGUGAGCGACGGAGAACUGGGGUUCGUGGGCAGAGUGGUGAGCGACGGAGAACUGGGGUUCGUGGGCAGAGUGGUGAGUGACGGAGAACUGGGGUUCGUGAGCAGAGUGGUGAGCGACGCAGAGCUGGGGUUCAUGGGCAGAGUGGUGAGCGACGGAGAACUGGGGUUCGUGGGCAGAGUGGUGAGCGACGCAGAGCUGGGGUUCGUGGGCAGAGUGGUGAGCGACGGAGAACUGGGGUUCGUGGGCAGAGUGGUGAGCGACGCAGAGCUGGGGUUCAUGGGCAGAGUGGUGAGCGACGGAGAACUGGGGUUCGUGGGCAGAGUGGUGAGCGACGGAGAACUGGGGUUCGUGGGCAGAGUGGUUGGCUGCCCCACUGUCAGCCUGUUCUGAAAGUAGGAAUGACCCUCAGCUGAGCUGAGAUGUUGCUGGUGGAGACUCUAAGACUGUGGAUUCUGACUCCCUGGGCUCAGGAAGGACGGUGCUGGGAACAAGGUGCAGACAAGGCACGACGAAGCUGGAGUGCCUCAUACCACCCCCAUGAAAGCGACGAAGGACUCCCAGAACCAUUCCUGGGGGCCCGUGGGAACGAGGACUUUGGGGGCACAAGGACGAGCUGAAGAAGUCUUCCUGAUUGUGGUUGUCAGAGGGAGGACAUGGCAUCGUGGUGGGCCAGAGUAUCGGCCUCAACACCACCCACUUUUCAGGCUGCAGUCUCCACCGUGGCCGCUGUGUGCAUUGGAGGGCACUUGGCAGCAUCCCCAGCCUCCCCACUAGAAAACCAGAUGCCAGGAGCAUAUGCGCCCCUCCUCAAGGUGCAACCACCAGAAACGACGCCAGACAUUGCCAAAUGUCCCUUGAGGGUGGGGACAAAUGCCCCUCAUCCCCCUUGAGGACUGCAGCUGGAACUCAAUGAAGAGCAGCGAAAGGGGCCACAAGCCAAGGCCUCUGCCGCAGCAUCUAACAGCUGGAAAAGGCAAAGAUACGGGAUCUCCUGGAGCCUCGAACAGGAGCCAGCUCUGCAGACACCUUGAUUGCAGCCCAGCAAGGCCCAUGUCAGGCCUCUGGCCUCCAUAACUUGAUAAUAAAGUUGUGUUUUAGUUCUUUGUUACAGGAGCAAUAUGGAGAGGGACUAAUGAACUGCCAUUGUAUUAAACCACUGGCAAUCAGAGUUGUUUGAUAAAGCAGUCAAGUCAACCUAAGUAAAACACUUAAGGACCAAGAAAUAAAGUCCUCACUUGAGGAUAGUGAGAUCUGAGAGCAGUAAAGCCACUUCCUUCUCGUGAGACCGACCCCUCUUGCAGACCUGCCUCUGGCCUGGCCCCAUGGAGUGGCAGGCCCCGGUCCUCCGCUCUUCGGGUCACAGGUGGCCCAGCAGGCUCUGCGCACAGCAUUUCGGCAGCACAGCAAUGCCUAACUUAAUACUCACUCCGGGAACAAGCCAGCUGCAAGCUGUCAACGCUAAGUCCCCCUAAUGCUUUAAUUGGUACUUACUCUAGUAAGUUCAUUUAAAAGUCCCCACCUCUGCCAGAUGCACAGUGAAGCUGACCCGACAAGAGGGCCUGACGGUGGCAGAGCAAUGUGAUAAUUAAUGCGUCCUGCUUUCCUCUGCUUGAAUUAAUGUUUUCAUGUCACUUAGACAUCACUCCUGGAAACCUUUCUGGUUUUCAGUAAUCAGCAGUUCUCCAUCCCAGAACCCAGUAGAUGAUCAAUAAGUGGUUGCCGAGUGAACGAAUGGCUGAGUCAGAGAUCUCGAAGGGUCAGAUUUCACUUGGUUCAAACCCCAACCAGUCUCUGAGAAACUGAGCCAGGGAGGCCUCAGGAGGCCUCGAGACGCCAGGGUACGAGCUAACUGUGGCUGGGAAGGUUGUGUAAAGAGGAAUACAAAGCAGCCUGGGCAUCCCAAAUGCUGCCACAGACGUGUCAGAGUGGCUAGGAGCCAUGGCCUGCACCCAGGCAGGGGCCACUCCCCAGCUGUGGGAGCAGAAGGGGCCCAGCACAGCCGGCCGCGGAGCCCGCAGGAGCCCCGGUACUCGGGAGGAGCCGGACGCCGACUCCAGCAGCGCAGACGCCGCCGGGGAGGCCCGUUGAGGAGCGCGCAGCUGAGUCCCGGUAGAGGAGGCGCCGGCCUGGAGAGGCUGGGGGCGGAUCCGCUGGACCAGGCGGGGUAGCGAAGGGUGGAGUUGCACAGAGCGGCCUCGAGUCCGGACUGGGGAAGGCUCAGACAGGGGGUGGAACAAAGGCCAGAAAGGAGGCGGGGGUCAGACCGGGGCUGGAUCAUGAAGGCGGCAGAGAGCUCGGAGGGAGCCCAACAAGGCCGUGCUGCGGCCCGGUUUUCCUUCCGGUGCUGAGGAUGGCGGCGGCCUGGUUUUCCUUCCGGUGCUGAGGAUGGCGGCGGCCUGGUUUUCCUUCCGGUGCUGAGGAUGGCGGCAGCCGCGGGACGGUGCUGAGGAUGGCGGCGGCCAUGGAAGGUGCUCCCUGCUUCUGCGCGGAUCCAGGCCUUCGGGAUCUCGCCCUCUGCAGUGCGGAGAACUCACUGGACGGAGACGAGAGAGGCGGCGGCGGCUGCACAGCUGGUGCGUGGGGACUGGGGGGCGGGUGAGCGCUGUCCUUGGCUGGGGAGGAAGCGCAGCCCCCGGAAGCCCGCCUGGGGCUGCAGGGAGAAAGGAGGGCGCCCCAGAGCCAAGGCUGCCCGCUGGUCCCUGCGACCGGGGCCCGGAGAAAGUGCGGGAAGGAGAGAGAAGGCUGGUGGCCGCCUGCCUCCAGGGCGGGCCUCCGAGCAGUGCCCUGUCCCAGCCACAGCCUUGCUUCUUUUGAUCCUCAUCACGACCGCUCUCCGGGCCAGGCCGUGGGUGAGGCCCCCAGGCCUUCAGGGGAGAAGCCGGGGUCUCCAGAGAGAGGUAACAGAGUGAGAACGGCCGUGGGUAGCGCGCCCCUCGGCCCCGCAGCUCUCCACAGGCCUCUGGCGAGCUCAGCUGACCUGCCCCAUCAGUGAGGUCUCUGCUCAGCUACCACCUGCUCUGAGAAGCCUUCUCUGCCAGGGUGACUCAUUACCCUGAUUUGCCAGGACUGAGUGGGUUCCUGGAGCGGCCUGGGAGCCGGCGGCGGUGGUGGCUUUCCUGAGCCCUGUUUGUCUAAUGUAGGCCCGGUUCGCACUGUUCAUUCACUCUGCUCCUCAGUUACUUUACGGCAAUUAACACCAAUCUGUUCUCAAAACGUGAGGUCCUCUUGCUCAGGGCUGUGUUCCUAGCACGCGGCCCUUGCCUGACACACGGCUGACAUUCAGCGCACAUUUAAACGAGUAGAUCAACUGCUCCAUCUUCCCCCAGAAGCUCUGUCUGUCCCUCCACAACUUGGCUCAUGCCAUCUCUUCCAUAAGCGCCGUGUGCUCUUCUCUCUCAGAAAAAAACUAUUUGUUUCUUGACAGCUCAGCUCAAAUAUCAGCUUCUCUCGACCCCAGGCACGAGCGUGGGUCCCGAAACCCUGGUGCCCUCCACAGUGUGUGUUCAGUAAAUGACUCUACGUUUAUCCCUGUAGCUGCCAGUGUUAUCAACUUUGGCCUAUGUUUUCUGAAUUAUUUUUGAAUCUUUAUUUUGUAAUCCAAUCUAUUAGUGACCCAUAACAGGCCGUGUCAUCCACAAUUAAAUAAAUGUGCACUCUCU